rnacentral:tRNA from 1 species
GCCAUGGUGGUCUAGCUGUUAGAACGCUGGCCUUGUAAUCCUGGGGUCUCGGGUUCGAUUCCCGGCAAUGCCC